UACAGAGGUCUCAAGCGUUGUUCGGAUUCAUUGGGCGUAAAGGGUGUGUAGGUGGCGCGCUAAGUCGGGUGUGAAAUUUCGGAGCUUAACUCCGAAACUGCAUUCGAUACUGGCGUGCUUGAGGACUGGAGAGGAGACUGGAAUUCAUGGUGUAGCAGUGAAAUGCGUAGAGAUCAUGAGGAAGACCAGUGGCGAAGGCGGAUCUCUGGGCCUGUCCUGACGCUCAGGCGCGAAAGCUAGGGGAGCAAACAGG
rnacentral:rRNA from 1 species